rnacentral:rRNA from 1 species
GAUGAACGCUGGCGGCGUGCCUAAUACAUGCAAGUCGAGCGAACAGAUGAGGCUCUUGCUCCUCUGACGUUAGCGGCGGACGGGUGAGUCACACGUGUAUAACCUACCUAUAAGACUGGGAUAACUUCGGGAAACCGGCGCUAAUCGCGGAUAAUAUAUUGAACCACGUGGGUCGAUAGUGAAAGACGGUUGUGCUGUCACUUAUAGAUGGAUCCGCGCCGCAUUAGCUAGUUGGUAAGGUCAAGGCUUACCAAGGCAAGGAUGCGUAGCCGACGUGAGAGAGUGAUAGGCGACCUGGGAGGGUGACCACGGACCAGGCUCCUGCGGGAGGGACCAGUAGGGAACCGGCGGCAAUAGGCGAAAGCUUGACGGAGCAAGCGCGCGUGAGUGAUGAAGGUCUUCGGAUCGUAAAACUCUGUUACUAGGGAAGAACCAAUUUGGAAGGAACUAUGCCCUUAUUGACGGUAACGAGUCAGAAAGCCACGGCUAACUACGUG